rnacentral:misc_RNA from 1 species
AAAUUCAAGCUUCUCGCCACUCAAUGUGCAGUAGCCGGAAGCCCUACGCAAAGUCCCACGACUAGCCCCGUCGUCCACCUCCGCCGCCGCAAGACACUCCGCAUGCUUCUCUCUCGCUCCGCUGACCAUCACCGCCGCCGGCUUCCCCGCCUUGAUGAACAGCCCGAGCUCCAGAAAGAUUCGCCGGAAAAGAAGAAAGUUAGAAGGAAAUUGAAGGACUUGUUCGUUUCGUCGCCACCUUUUGAAGAUAAAGAGAAGGAUAAUCCGGAUGGUGCUGAUGGUGAAGUAGAAUUGUUAACCGUUACCGAUAGUGAUGAUGGCAGUGGUGGUGGUAGCGCUGGAAGUUUUGGAGGUGGAGGUUUGGCUGCUCGGCGCGGUGGAGGUGGCUCGCUGAGACCAGUAACGGGUAUGUUUAGGUAUAGGUUACUGAGGAGAGCUU